rnacentral:lncRNA from 1 species
UAAUUUCAUCUUUAAAAAAGUGUUCGUGUGGCACUACUCGGAAUAACUAUUCAAAUAGUACUAUUCCAACAACUUUAUUCCUCUAGUACUAUUUCAAUGGCACUAUUCAUGUGAAUACUAUCCUGAGGCCUUUAUUUUAAUUAAAGUUAAAAAGUCUGCAUACUUCGCUUAAUUCAAAGUAUUUUGAACUUAAGUUAUUUAACCACCUUGAGAUUGAGGGUAUGCUGAAAAUAAAGAAAAUCAAUGUAGUUAUAUUUUAAAGUAUGUCUUCAUUGUAUUUUUUUUUUUUUUUUUAUUUUUUUUUUUAUUUUUUUUUGUAUUUUUUUUUUUUCUAAAAGUCUGCAUACUUCGCUUAAUUCAAAGUAUUUUGAACUUAAGUUAUUUAACCACCUUGAGAUUGAGGGUAUGCUGAAAAUAAAG